GGAGCUUGCUCCUGCUGGAUUAAUGGCGAACGGGUGAGUAACACGUGAGUAACCUGCCCUUGACUCUGGGAUAAGCGUUGGAAACGACGUCUAAUACCGGAUACGAGCUAAGACCGCAUGGUCAUUAGCUGGAAAGAAUUUUGGUCAAGGAUGGACUCGCGGCCUAUCAGCUAGUUGGUGAGGUAAUGGCCCACCAAGGCGACGACGGGUAGCCGGCCUGAGAGGGUGACCGGCCACACUGGGACUGAGACACGGCCCAGACUCCUACGGGAGGCAGCAGUGGGGAAUAUUGCACAAUGGGCGCAAGCCUGAUGCAGCAACGCCGCGUGAGGGACGACGGCCUUCGGGUUGUAAACCUCUUUUAGCAGGGAAGAAGCGAAAGUGACGGUACCUGCAGAAAAAGCACCGGCUAACUACGUGCCAGCAGCCGCGGUAAUACGUAGGGUGCAAGCGUUGUCCGGAAUUAUUGGGCGUAAAGAGCUCGUAGGCGGUUUGUCGCGUCUGCUGUGAAAAUCCGAGGCUCAACCUCGGACCUGCAGUGGGUACGGGCAAACUAGAGUGCGGUAGGGGAGAUUGGAAUUCCUGGUGUAGCGGUGGAAUGCGCAGAUAUCAGGAGGAACACCAAUGGCGAAGGCAGAUCUCUGGGCCGUAACUGACGCUGAGGAGCGAAAGCGUGGGGAGCGAACAGGAUUAGAUACCC
rnacentral:rRNA from 1 species